rnacentral:rRNA from 1 species
CGUGUAGGCGGUUUAGCAAGUCAGAUGUGAAAGCCCUGGGCUCAACCCGGGAAGUGCAUUUGAAACUGCUUCACUAGAGUAUGGGAGAGGAGAUUGGAAUUCCUGGUGUAGAGGUGAAAUUCGUAGAUAUCAGGAGGAACACCCGUGGCGAAGGCGAUUCUCUGGACCAAUACUGACGCUGAGACGCGAAAGCGUCGGGAGCAAACAGGAUUAGAUACCCUGGUAGUCC